rnacentral:rRNA from 1 species
GACGAACGCUGGCGGCGUGCUUAACACAUGCCAGUCGAACGGAAAGGCCCUGCUUUUGUGGGGUGCUCGAGUGGCGAACGGGUGAGUAACACGUGAGUAACCUGCCCUUGACUUUGGGAUAACUUCAGGAAACUGGGGCUAAUACCGGAUAGGAGCUCCUGCUGCAUGGUGGGGGUUGGAAAGUUUCGGCGGUUGGGGAUGGACUCGCGGCUUAUCAGCUUGUUGGUGGGGUAGUGGCUUACCAAGGCUUUGACGGGUAGCCGGCCUGAGAGGGUGACCGGCCACAAUGGGACUGAGAUACGGCCCAGACUCCUACGGGAGGCAGCAGUGGGGAAUAUUGCACAAUGGGCGGAAGCCUGAUGCAGCAACGCCGCGUGCGGGAUGACGGCCUUCGGGUUGUAAACCGCUUUCGCCUGUGACGAAGCGUGAGUGGCGGUAAUGGGUAAAGAAGCACCGGCUAACUACGUG